GACGAACGCUGGCGGCGUGCCUAAUACAUGCAAGUCGAGCGCAGGAAAUCGACGGAACCCUUCGGGGGGAAGUCGGCGGAAUGAGCGGCGGACGGGUGAGUAACACGUAAAGAACCUGCCCUCAGGUCUGGGAUAACCACGAGAAAUCGGGGCUAAUACCGGAUGGGUCAUCGGACCGCAUGGUCCGAGGAUGAAAGGCGCUUCGGCGUCGCCUGGGGAUGGCUUUGCGGUGCAUUAGCUAGUUGGUGGGGUAAUGGCCCACCAAGGCGACGAUGCAUAGCCGACCUGAGAGGGUGAUCGGCCACACUGGGACUGAGACACGGACAAGACUCCUACGGGAAGCAGCAGUAGGGAAUCUUCCACAAUGGACGAAAGUCUGAUGGAGCAACGCCGCGUGAACGAUGAAGGCCUUCGGGUCGUAAAGUUCUGUUGUAAGGGAAGAACAAGUGCCGCAGGCAAUGGCGGCACCUUGACGGUACCUUGCGAGAAAGCCACGGCUAACUACGUGCCAGCCGCCGCAGUAACAC
rnacentral:rRNA from 1 species